ACGUAGGAGGCAAGCGUUGUCCGGAAUCAUUGGGCGUAAAGGGAGCGCAGGCGGUUAUAUAAGUCUGAUGUUAAAGCCUGCGGCUUAACCCCGUGAUGGCUUGGAAACUGUAUGACUUGAGUACAGUAGAGGUAAGCGGAAUUGCCAGUGUAGCGGUGAAAUGCGUAGAUAUUGGGAGGAACACCAGUGGCGAAGGCAGCUUACUGGGCUGUAACUGACGCUGAGGCGCGAAAGCUAGGGGAGCAAACGG
rnacentral:rRNA from 1 species